rnacentral:rRNA from 2 species
ACUUCGGUGUGGGUAGAGCGGCGGACGGGUGAGUAAUGCUUGGGAAUCUGCCCAAUAGUGGGGGAUAACGUGUGGAAACGCACGCUAAUACCGCAUACGUCCUACGGGAGAAAGCAGGGGAUCUUCGGACCUUGCGCUAUUGGAUGAGCCCAAGUCAGAUUAGCUAGUUGGUGAGGUAAUGGCUCACCAAGGCGACGAUCUGUAGCUGGUCUGAGAGGAUGAUCAGCCACACUGGGACUGAGACACGGCCCAGACUCC